AGCGUCAUGAUAAACAUCAAGCUCCGCUUGGUCUUGGGUGUCCGUCCCUUGGGACGCACCUGGAAAUCAGCGGCGGUGCGGCCGAGACACCAGCGUAGUACCAAACUCCCGCUCGGUGGCCUCGGGUGCGUCAGCCGGACGACUCCCACAUCAUAUCCACGUUUGACCUCGGAUCAGGUAGGGAUACCCGCUGAACUUAA
rnacentral:misc_RNA from 1 species